rnacentral:rRNA from 1 species
CAGGUCUUGACAUACCGGGCAAAGCCCUAGAGAUAGGGAAAUAGUUAUGCCGGAUACAGGUGGUGCAUGGUUGUCGUCAGCUCGUGUCGUGAGAUGUUGGGUUAAGUCCCGCAACGAGCGCAACCCUUGUCUUCAGUUACCAUCAUUCAGUUGGGGACUCUGGAGAGACUGCCGGUGACAAACCGGAGGAAGGUGGGGAUGACGUCAAAUCAUCAUGCCCCUUAUGACCUGGGCUACACACGUACUACAAUGGCGUAUACAACGGGAAGCGAAAUGGUGACAUGGAGCAAAUCUCACAAAGUACGUCUCAGUUCGGAUUGAAGUCUGCAGCUCGACUUCUGAAGUCGGAAUCGCUAGUAAUCGCGGAUCAGCAUGCCGCGGUGAAUACGUUCU